AAAUCUAAAUUUUUCUUACGGAGGCAGCAACUGAGUAUCGCGUGAAGAGAUACAUAUAGAUCUUCUUAUACGGCCAAUAAAUAAAUUGU